rnacentral:lncRNA from 1 species
UACAGAACUCUGUUCUGUGGCCUGCUUCUCCCCCUGGACAAAAUCUCAGAGCCACCAUUCUAGUGCUGGAGGUAGGGACAAUGGCGUGCGUCUCUCUGAGUGAUUCCCCUGCUUUAGGAGCUGAGUGCUUGGUAGAUGGCAGAUGGGGCAGCAGCCAGGACUGUUAUACUGCUUCUCCAGACAAAGAAUUAGUAUGGGUUUAAAUAACAUAAGAGCUUUCUUUACCUGUCU